rnacentral:rRNA from 1 species
AGCGAACGCUGGCGGCAGGCCUAACACAUGCAAGUCGAACGAAGCCUUCGGGCUUAGUGGCGGACGGGUGAGUAACACGUGGGAACGUACCUUUUGGUUCGGAAUAACGCAGAGAAAUUUGCGCUAAUACCGAAUGAGCCCUUCGGGGGAAAGAUUUAUCGCCGAAAGAUCGGCCCGCGUUGGAUUAGGUAGUUGGUGUGGUAAAGGCGCACCAAGCCUACGAUCCAUAGCUGGUCUGAGAGGAUGAUCAGCCACACUGGGACUGAGACACGGCCCAGACUCCUACGGGAGGCAGCAGUGGGGAAUCUUGCGCAAUGGGCGAAAGCCUGACGCAGCCAUGCCGCGUGAAUGAUGAAGGUCUUAGGAUUGUAAAAUUCUUUUACCAGGGACGAUAAUGACGGUACCUGGAGAAAAAGCCCCGGCUAACUUCGUGCCAGCAGCCGCCGUAAAAC